ensembl:miRNA
GAGGUGGGAGGAUGGCUUGGGUCCAGGAGGUCGAGGCUGCAGUGAGCUCUGAUUGCACCACUGCACUCCAGCCUGAGUGACAGAGCAAGACCCUGUCUCA